GACAAUCGUUGAUGAUUCUGACCUUGUGUCAAGACCCUGAAAUCUGUGAGGGUGUCUAAGUCACUACCUCAUCUGAGAUUGUA